rnacentral:tRNA from 2 species
GGGUGAUUAGCUCAGCUGGGAGAGCACCUCCCUUACAAGGAGGGGGUCGGCGGUUCGUAUCCCGUCAUCACCCACCA